rnacentral:rRNA from 1 species
GCUUAGCCCUAAACACAGAUAAUAAUGAUACAAUUUUAUCCGCCAGAGAACUACAAGCGAAAAGCUUAAAACUCCAAGGACUUGGCGGUGCUUCAAAUCAACCUAGAGGAGCCUGUCCUAUAAUCGAUAUUCCACGUUUUACCUUACCACCCCUAGCAAUCAGCUUAUAUACCGCCGUCGAAAGCCUACCUUAUGAAAGAAACAAAGUAGGCAAAAUAGUUAACAACUAGAACGUCAGGUCAAGGUGUAGCAUAUGAGGCGGCAGAGAUGGGCUACAUUUUUAAAAAAUAAUAUACGAAUAACAUGUUGAAAUACAUGUCUGAAGGCGGAUUUAGUAGUAAAAUAAACAAGAAAAGUUAUUUUAAACCUGCUCUGAAGCGCGCACACACCGCCCGUCU